AACGAACGCUGGCGGCGUGCCUAAUACAUGCAAGUCGAACGCUUUUUCUUUCACCGGAGCUUGCUCCAUCGAAAGAAAAAGAGUGGCGAACGGGUGAGUAACACGUGGGUAACCUGCCCAUCAGAAGGGGAUAACACUUGGAAACAGGUGCUAAUACCGUAUAACACUAUUUUCCGCAUGGAAGAAAGUUGAAAGGCGCUUUUGCGUCACUGAUGGAUGGACCCGCGGUGCAUUAGCUAGUUGGUGAGGUAACGGCUCACCAAGGCAACGAUGCAUAGCCGACCUGAGAGGGUGAUCGGCCAAACUGGGACUGAGACACGGCCCAGACUCCUACGGGAGGCAGCAGUAGGGAAUCUUCGGCAAUGGACGAAAGUCUGACCGAGCAACGCCGCGUGAGUGAAGAAGGUUUUCGGAUCGUAAAACUCUGUUGUUAGAGAAGAACAAGGAUGAGAGUAAAAUGUUCAUCCCUUGACGGUAUCUAACCAGAAAGCCACGGCUAACUACGUGCCAGCCGCCGCCGUAA
rnacentral:rRNA from 1 species